rnacentral:lncRNA from 1 species
UGCCGUUUAACAAGGUGAAAGAGUGACCCAAUGAAGUGGAAUACUACCUUGUCAGUGUGCCGAAAGAGAAGUCACCUUAGCCCACUCCAGCACAAGCGGAGGGAGAGGGAGCGACGUCUUUGAUUGUUUGUUGCCAGCAGGGAGAAGGGAAGGAGGGUGCUUUUCUGGAAACACCACUGUCUCGCAGGCUGAAGCAUAUGGGAGGUUCCAUUGGAUAACUCCUUGACAGUCAGGAGAACAGCAGACAGAAUUGGAUUUGGUAUGUUGCAUUUAUUAAUUAAACAGUUAAAUCCGUUCCUGGCCGCGGUUCCCUUGGGGUUAAAGCUGUCUAUGCUGUGAAUCUGAAUGAGCUUGCUUGCUUAGAUGAGAUGAGAAGGUUG